CACAAGGAGAAAACUACAAAAAUAACACACAAGGAGCAAAAGAAACAAUAACUGAAGAGCAUGAGCAAUCUAAAACGACUAAGACACGAACAUAAAAAUAUGAGAGCCUGAGCGGUCCAUGGAGGAUUUAACUGGAUAAUGGUAUUGGUUUCACAUCAGCGAGGGAGCAGGAAGACCACAGUGGAUAAGCUGAGGACAGACUCUCUCUCUCUCUCCCCCCCGUCUCCCACUUCUUGACUGAGUAAUUAUUCCUUAAGCCCACCUACCCAGGCAACAAAAAUAGAAUUGAUUUCCCAUUAUAUGCAGCAUCAGUCCUGCUGGGGAGGUCCUGUCAGGGUGAGCAGGCAGCAGGCAGACAUGUCUAACCUGAGAGCCCGGGACGGGCUGUGAGCUGCUGCAUGGGGUUAUCGAUGUGAUCCUGUGCCUCAUUUCCCAAAACAAAGCAGACACGCUGUUGUUACACAAGUCUGCCCCAGAACAGCUUCCUGACCACAGUAAGAAAAGGCUGAAAGAGACAGCCAAGCCCCGACAGAACCACACACUGCUGAGGUUAUUGACUUUAAAGUCUUUGUUUCUUUAAAGAUCUGAGCGCUGAUACACAGUCAGAGCUACCAUUUAUAUCAAGUGCGUUAAGUCAGAGUCUUCAAUUCUGAAACACAAUGGAACAGGAUUACAUGAAUGACCAAACAUCAUAGUUUUCUGAACGUAACCCUGAAUAUAAGACAACCCCACUUUUUUGGGAUGUAUGUAGAAGAAAUCCUGUACAUCAGGGUCAAUAUGGUAUGUAGUGGUGAAAAUGGCCUUGUUGUGAUGAUCUUGCAGGGAUCUGUGGGUGUCAACCUAGAAACAAAUGAACAUAAUGUAAAUGUGCAACUUCACUGACGUCAGUACUUCUCUAUUUGUCAGUAUAACCCAGUCAUGUCAGUGCCCACAGUUAACUUAUUUGUGCCUUUUUCUUCCCCUGCAUACCCUGCAUGUGACAACUCUUCUGUGGUGUCCAAACUAAAGCUGGGGCUUUUGUUUUGAAGGGAAGUGUUUUUUUCUCUUUUUGCAGUAAUAAACUCGAGUACCCCUUCA